CACUUUUUUUUAUAGACAUGUGUCUAUAUGUAUGUUCGAUGAAAUAAAGCUCGAUUUAAGGGCGGAACUAACCUCUUUUUACUUUUUUUAGAUAACAGAUUUUAAAGCAAAACAACACGCUGAUUUCAUUUAGUAGAACAUUCCCUCAUUACUUAUGGCAAAAUUUUAAUAAAAUUGUUUUUCUUGAUAUUUGAUAUUUUUUUGUAGUUUUUCAAAAAAGUAAUCGCGAAAAAUAUGGGUUUUAACCGGUGAAAACUGAGGUUAGUACUGGCCAUAAAUCAAAAAAAUUGCAUAUUUAUUCCAAAAUCCAUUUGUCGUAUUAAAUUUUUCAAUCAGCGUGUUUGUUUGCUUUAAAAUCUUUUAUUUAAAAAAGUAACCAGCGAAAAAUCUUGCGGAAAAAGAGGUUAGUACCGCACUUUUGGUAGAACCGGUGAAUAGACGUUGUUGUACCGUGUAAACUCAUCAUUGUUCGAAAAAGAACAACAUAUUUGGCUUUGUCAAAACCAUUUACAGGUAGUGGCAGUUGGCCAACAACAAAAUACCGAGUACACUAUAUGUCAAACUCAGUGACAGAGAAUGAUUUUGAUCAAAGACAAUUCGGGAAAAGCUGCUACUACAAUUCGACUAAUCAAUGAAAUUCUUAUUGCCAACAGUGGUUAGUUUGCCUGCCGUGUUACAAAAACCGCCCGCAAAUUAAGUGUGCGCACAGUGGCCGUAUACUAGACGCCGAAAUUGUCAAGAAACCCGGCUCCAAGGCCAUACAUUCCGGUUAUGAUUUCCUCUCUGAGUCGGUGGAGUUUGCUAAAUAGUGGCAAAAGGAAAGUGUUGUUUUCAUGGGUUCACCGGCCAUACGUGCUAAGGGUAUUAAGAACACCAGUAAACAUAUAAUGGACGCCGCUGGAGUACUCAUCAUCAGCUUUGGAGAAAGUAUUAAUAAAACCUGGGGCCAGCGUUAAUAAAGAGGACAAUAUUGCUGUCUAAAUUAUGAUAAAAAUAGAGCUGGAGAAAGAUGCCCAAUAUUGUCAAGGUUGCUAACAUUCGAAGGGGAAAAGUAAUCUAUUUUAGGAAGGACAUAAACAAUAAGAAUAUCCAUGCCCGAGUACCACGGUACGUGGCAGAUUGACCCGAUGGACUCCUCCAUCGGCAAGGGCUGCCGCCUCAGUGUGCAACACACUGCUACAACAACAACAGAGUACCAGAGCAAAUAUUGCAUUUUCUUCUUGCUAUGUAAACCUUUAUAUUUUUUUAUUUUUGUAGAAUGCUUAUAAAAUGUUUUAAAAAAUAUUAUCAUAGUGAUGUUUAAAUUGUAGGUGAAGUAUAAUAAACUGUUAAAGUUUUACUUUA